GAAAUAUUUAAAAUUAAGCUGCUAACUUAAUUAUAGUGAUUAUUAAUCAUUUAUAUUUUU
rnacentral:tRNA from 1 species